UCCGUAGGUGAACCUGCGGGAGGGUCAUUAGUGAAUUUAGAGCGUAACUUCGGUUAGCUCAACCUUCAUUUUCCAACUCUGUGCACUAUUGGCGGGCUGGGGGCAAGUAAUUGCUAUUCAGUCUGCGGCUCACUAUUAAACAUUAGUUAAAGUAUGUAUAUAAAAACAAAACAAAAAAACUUUCAACAACGGGUCUCUUGGCUCUCGCAUCGAUGAAGAACGCAGCGAAAUGUGAUAAGUAAUGUGAAUUGCAGAAUUCAGUGAAUCAUCGAAUCUUUGAACGCACCUUGCGCUCUCUGGUAUUCCGGGGAGCAUGUCUGUUUGAGUGUCAUGAACUCUUCAACCUACCGAUUUCUAGUAAAUCGGGUUAGUGUUUGGGUUUUGAACGCUUGCUGGCCUUUAUUGGCGAAGCUCGUUCGUAAAUGAUUAGCAUCUCAUAUUCGAAAAUCGGGUUGACUCAGUGUAAUAGACUAUUCGCUGAGGGCGCUCUUUCGGGGGUGGCCGAGUUUUGUAAAGUAGAAGCUUCUAAUUCUAUUAGUCAACUUUAGAUUAGACCUCAGAUCAGGCAGGGUUACCCGCUGAACUUAAGCAUAUCAAUAAGCGGGGGGAAAG
rnacentral:rRNA from 1 species